UACGUAGGGGGCAAGCGUUGUCCGGAAUCAUUGGGCGUAAAGAGCGCGUAGGCGGCCCAGUAAGUCCGCUCUGAGAGUCAGAGGCUCAACCUCUGAAUGCGGGUGGAUACUGUCGGACUAGAGUCCGGAAGAGGCGAGUGGAAUUCCCGGUGUAGCGGUGAAAUGCGCAGAUAUCGGGAGGAACACCAAUGGCGAAGGCAGCUCGCUGGGACGGUACUGACGCUGAGGCGCGAAAGCGUGGGGAGCAAACAGG
rnacentral:rRNA from 1 species